GACGAACGCUGGCGGCGUGCUUAACACAUGCCAGUCGAACGGCAAGGCCCUAAUUUUGUGGUGUUCUCGAUUGCCGAACGGGUGAGUAACAGGUGAGUAACCUGCUCUAGACUUUGGUGGAACUUCAGGAAACGGGGCCUAAUAUCGGAUAGCAUCUCCUGUUGCAUGGUGGGGGUGGGAACUUUGCUGCGGUCGGGGUUGGAUUGGCGGCUUAUCAGCUUGUUGGUGGGGUAGUGGCUUACCAAGGCUUUGGCGGGUAGCCGGCCUGAGAGGGUGAACGGGCACCUGAGGCCUGAGAUACGGACCAGUCUCCUACGGUGGGCAGCAGUGGGGAAUAUUGCACAAUGGGCGGGAGCCUGAUGCAACAACGCCGCGUGCGGGAUGACGGCCUUCGGGUUGAAAACCGCUUCCGCCUGUGACGAAGCGGGAGUGACGGUAAUGGGUAAAGAAGCACCGGCUAACUACGUG
rnacentral:rRNA from 1 species